UACGUAGGCAGCAAGCGUUGUUCGGAAUUACUGGGCGUAAAGAGUGUGUAGGCGGUGCUCUAAGUUCGGUGUGAAAUCUCCCGGCUCAACUGGGAGGGUGCGCCGGAAACUGGGGUGCUGGAGGGCGGGAGAGGAAAGCGGAAUUCCUGGUGUAGCGGUGAAAUGCGUAGAUAUCAGGAGGAACACCGGCGGUGUAGACGGCUUUCUGGACCGUAGCUGACGCUGAGACACGAAAGCGUGGGUAGCAAACAGG
rnacentral:rRNA from 1 species